CUCCAGGCUGAGAUCCUCAGUUAACCAAGGCUCUCUUGAGAGUUAUAAAAGAUUGGAAGGCAGUCAGCCCGUCUUCAACAGAGUCAGCAGCUGCUAAUUGUCUAACAGUGCAAAGGUCAGUGUUGACUCCUGGUGACUACUUGGACAAGUCUGUUGUGGCCCCGCCCUCUGAGCCUGUCCCAUCGGAGGAAGAAAGCUCCGAGCAUGAGGAAGAGGAGUCAGCCAGGCCUCCCUCUCCAGGCCCCUCCCCUCUGGCACUGUCUCAGGUGCUGGCCGAGGGAGAGGAGAUUAGCAGGGAGACAGGUGGCUCGGAUGAGAGCGAAGGAGAAACAUCAUUCCUGGACGCACGCCUCCGAAGGCGUGAUAAACGAUUGCAGCAGCUCAGGAGGCGUGCUAGGGAUUAGAACUGAGUCACUGGACCACACCCCAGAAACGAUAUAAUAGAGGGUGGUGGCCAGUGAUCCUUGUGACGAACAAAACUAAACCUUGGAUAGUCACUAAAGCCUCGUUCGGAACUGCUGGGAGGAAUAUUUAUUGUUGUUGGACUUUUGGACGCUGAGUAUAUUAUCUUUCUGUUUCUGUGGAAAUAAAGCACUUGGCAGACGGCAUGUAUAUCGCUGUCAAGUUGGAGAUAAAGA